CCCAUUUUAUGAGUCUUAAGUACCCAUUUUUGGCAACAGUAGGGAGCUGUCAAAAAAUGGGGCUUUUUCUGGCAUCAAAUAAUGGGUAUUCAAACCCCAUUAUGAAGUUCCCUUUCUGAUGAAAAUAAUGGGUGAAUAGUACGCAUGAUUGUUUGUGACUUUUAGUACCGCCAUUUGAACUUAGCAAUUUUCGAAAGAAAUAUUACAAGCAAAAUGACAAAUUGCACCAGAAAACCUCGUAGAAGAGAACGGAGACGGAGAGACUAGAAAUGUUACUCGGUAACAGUUGGAUGAGUCCCGGAAAGUGUGGGUUCCCGCUGCUGAUGGACAUUGAAGCAUUCAACAAGCCAAAUGAGCUCCAAAGAUGAUGGAUAAUUUGAAAAUAAGAUGUGAAAUAUUACUAAUUUGCAUAUCGAAAUAUACAGUUUACAUACUACA